rnacentral:rRNA from 1 species
GACGAACGCUGGCGGCGUGCUUAACACAUGCAAGUCGAACGGAAAGGCCCUGCUUGCAGGGUGCUCGCGUGGGGAAAGGGGGAGUAACACGUGGGUGAUAUGCGCCUUACUUUGGGAUAAGCCUGGGAAACUGGGUCUAAUACUGGAUAGGACCAUGCCGGAGGUGGUGUGGUGGAAGGAUUAGUUUCGGUAAGGGAGGAGGUCGCGGCCUAUCAGCUUUUUGUUGGGGUAAUGGCCUACAAAGGCGGCGUCGGGGAGACGGCCUGCGAGGGUGGACGGCCGCAUUGGGACUGCGAUGCGACCCAGACUCCUACGGGAGGCAGCAGUGGUGAAUAUUACACAAUAGGGGGAGGCCUGAUGCUGCGACGCCGCGUGGUGGAGGAUGGCCUCCUGCUUGUAAUCUCCUUUCUGCCCUUGCGAAGCCCUUGUGGUGACGGUAGUGGUAGAAGAAGCACCGGCUAACUACGUG